rnacentral:rRNA from 1 species
ACUCCUACGGGAGGCAGCAGUGGGGAAUAUUGCGCAAUGGGCGGAAGCCUGACGCAGCGACGCCGCGUGGGGGAUGACGGCCUUCGGGUUGUAAACCUCUUUCGACCCCGACGAAGGGUGACUGACGGUAGGGGUGGAAGAAGCACCGGCCAACUACGUGCCAGCAGCCGCGGUAAUACGUAGGGUGCGAGCGUUGUCCGGAAUUAUUGGGCGUAAAGAGCUCGUAGGCGGUGUGUCACGUCGGCCGUGAAAACCUGCAGCUUAACUGUGGGCGUGCGGUCGAUACGGGCAUCACUGGAGUUCGGCAGGGGAGACUGGAAUUCCUGGUGUAGCGGUGAAAUGCGCAGAUAUCAGGAGGAACACCGGUGGCGAAGGCGGGUCUCUGGGCCGAUACUGACGCUGAGGAGCGAAAGCGUGGGGAGCAAACAGGAUUAGAUACCCUGGUAGUCCACGCCGUAAACGGUGGGCACUAGGUGUGGGGACCAUUCCACGGUUUCUGUGCCGCAGCUAACGCAUUAAGUGCCCCGCCUGGGGAGUACGGCCGCAAGGCUAAAACUCAAAUGAAUUGACGG